rnacentral:lncRNA from 1 species
UCGCGGGGAGAGGGGGUGUGGUGAGGGGAAGAUACAGGGUGGAGAGAUUCCGCGGAGAAAGCAAAAUAGAAAAGCAACGGGAGGGACGAGAGGCAGACGGGAAAAACCGCGAGGCAGGAAAGCGACGAGAAGCGCGCAUCGGCGAGCAAGAGAGGCUGCGCUUUCCUCACUUACUGCGAGCGCGAGUCAGCGCUGAAGGCCCAGAGCGCGCUGCACGAGCAGAAGACCCUGCCCGGGGUAAGUGGCGCCCGCCGAGGCGCGAGCGACCCACGCGCCGACAGGGGGCGACUGCGGGAGGCCGGGCUGCGC